AAUGAACGCUGGCGGCAUGCCUAACACAUGCAAGUCGAACGAAGGCUUCGGCCUUAGUGGCGCACGGGUGCGUAACGCGUGGGAAUCUGCCCCUUGGUUCGGAAUAACAGUUAGAAAUGACUGCUAAUACCGGAUGAUGACGUAAGUCCAAAGAUUUAUCGCCGAGGGAUGAGCCCGCGUAGGAUUAGCUAGUUGGUGUGGUAAGAGCGCACCAAGGCGACGAUCCUUAGCUGGUCUGAGAGGAUGAUCAGCCACACUGGGACUAAGACACGGCCCAGACUCCUACGGGAGGCAGCAGUGGGGAAUAUUGGACAAUGGGCGAAAGCCUGAUCCAGCAAUGCCGCGGGAGUGAUGAAGGCCUUAGGGUUGUAAAGCUCUUUUACCCGGGAUGAUAAUGACAGUACCGGGAGAAUAAGCUCCGGCUAACUCCGUG
rnacentral:rRNA from 1 species